rnacentral:misc_RNA from 1 species
UCCGAGUUGUCCCCGGCAGUCCCAUUAGAGUCCCCGACAUAACUCGCUGGCAACAUCGGACAGGGGUUGCGCUCGUUGCGCCACUUAAGGCAACACCUCACGGCACGAGCUGACGACAGCCAUGCAGCACCUGUGCGGGCUCCCGAAGGAGGACCGUGUUUCCACGGCUUUCUCCAGCAUGUCAAGCCUAGGUAAGGUUCUUCGCGUUGCGUCGAAUUAAACCACAUGCUCCACCGCUUGUGCGGGCCCCCGUCAAUUCCUUUGAGUUUCAGCCUUGCGGCCGUACUCCCCAGGCGGGGCACUUAAUGCGUUAGCGCCGGCACCCAGGGGGUCGCUCCCCCAGGCACCUAGUGCCCAUCGUUUACGGCGUGGACUAC